UGAUAGGACAAAAGGAGAGCUAUUGGGUAUCGUUUUGGUACCAAUAAUAAUAAUUCCUAAAAUUGGUAAAGAAAUAGAGAGAUGGGAAUAGGAAGCAAGGUGGGAGACUUGGUUUUCAAGGGUUUUACGGCGAGCUUGGGUUUGGCAACCAUCUAUCUCACUGCUACUUUCUCCGCUAGUGUCUAUCGAGGUCUUUCUUGGCACAACGCUCAAUCGAAAUUAAACCAGGAAGACCAGGACGAUCAGAAAAAUAUGGCCUGAAACAUUGUAAUCGCAUCACUUCUAAUGUCAACAAUGAUAUUUUGAAGUGAAUCUUCCAUAAAAGAAAGUUCAACAGUUGAAAAUUCAGUAGGAUGAAAUUCUGCUAGUCGUGUAACUUUGCUAUAUCAAAUGCGGAAAACUGGUUCGCGGGAUUGAAAGAAGACAUACAGAAAAGUAAUUCUUUGCUUACCUCAUUGAACCUAUUUUCAAGUUCUUUUAAUUGUAGAUCAAUGACACUUAAGAAAACUUCAAUUCGAAAAUGAUGAAGAUUUGUCACUUGUGGUCUAUUUCCACGAAACUUCCUUCUGCCAGGGAGAACAUACUUUUCCUCCAUAUCAGGAGUCUCAAUGCCA